rnacentral:rRNA from 1 species
UGGGGAAUAUUGGGCAAUGGGCGCAAGCCUGACCCAGCCAUGCCGCGUGAGUGAUGAAGGCCUUCGGGUCGUAAAGCUCUGUGGGGAGGGAAGAAACCCCCCGUAGCUAAUAUCUACGGGGCUUGACGGUACCUCCUUAGCAAGCACCGGCUAACUCCGUGCCAGCAGCCGCGGUAAUACGGAGGGUGCAAACGUUGCUCGGAAUCAUUGGGCGUAAAGCGCACGUAGGCGGCUUGUUAAGUCGGAUGUGAAAGCCCUCGGCUCAACCGAGGAAGUGCAUUCGAAACUGGCAAGCUUGAAUAUGGAAGAGGGUCGCGGAAUUCCCGGUGUAGAGGUGAAAUUCGUAGAUAUCGGGAGGAACACCAGUGGCGAAGGCGGCGACCUGGGCCAAUAUUGACGCUGAGGUGCGAAAGCGUGGGGAGCAAACAG